GCGGGGAGUAGAGCAACAGGGAUUGCCUCAGUAACGGCGAGUGAAGCGGCAAAAGCUCAAAUUUUAAAGCUGGCACCUUCGGUGUCCGCGUUGUAAUUUUGUGAGGCAUCUCCGGGUAGGGCGCCGGCCUAAGUUCCUUGGAACAGGACGUCAUAGAGGGUGAGAAUCCCGUGCUUGGCUGGCUGUCCCCGUCCAUGUGAGGUGUCUUCGACGAGUCGAGUUGUUUGGGAAUGCAGCUCAAAAUGGGUGGUAAAUUUCAUCUAAAGCUAAAUAUUGGUGGGAGACCGAUAGCGCACAAGUAGAGUGAUCGAAAGAUGAAAAGCACUUUGAAAAUAGAGUUAAAAAGUACGUGAAAUUGUUGAAAGGGAAGCGCUUGAGACCAGACUUCGGUGGGGGGUGAUCAGCUGUCCUUCUGGGCGGUGCACUUGCUCCCCUCCGGGCCAGCAUCGGUUGGGGCGGCGGGAUAAAGAUCCCGGGAAUGUGGCUCCUUUCGGGGAGUGUUAUAGCCCGGGUGAAUGCCGCCAGUUCCGACCGAGGACCGCGCCUUCGGGCUAGGAUGCUUGGCAUAAUGGUCUUCAGCGACCCGUCUUGAAACACGGACCAAGGAGUCUAACAUCUAUGCGAGUGUUUGGGUGUCAAACCCUUACGCGAAAUGAAAGUGAACGGAGGUGGGAACCCGCAAGGGCGCACCAUCGACCGGUCCUGAAGUCUUCUGAAGGAUCUGAGUAGGAGCAUAGCUGUUGGGACCCGAAAGAUGGUGAACUAUGCCUGAAUAGGGUGAAGCCAGAGGAAACUCUGGUGGAGGCUCGCAGCGGUUCUGACGUGCAAAUCGAUCGUCAAAUUUGGGUAUAGGGGCGAAAGACUAAUCGAACCAUCCUAGUGGGU
rnacentral:rRNA from 1 species